rnacentral:RNase_P_RNA from 1 species
CAUGCAGACCGCCUUAUCGCUUCGAUUCAUCGGGGAGGAAAGUCCGGACACCAAAGAGAAGCAUAGCGGGUAACGCCCGUCUGCCGAUGAUUAUCGGUAAGGACAAGUGCAACAGAAAGUAUGUACAGGUUAAGCUGUAGUGAAACCAGGUAAACUCUAUGCGGUGAAAUUUCAAGUAAAUCAGCAUUUAAGGGCUUCUCGUCCGUUGUUGAAGGGUAGAAAGAUUGAUUCCGUGAGUAAUUUCGGAACUAGAUAAAUGAUAAGGAUCCAAUUUUAUUGGAGACAGAAUCCGGCUUACAGGUCUGCUUUUUUU